UACGUAGGGUGCAAGCGUUAAUCGGAAUUACUGGGCGUAAAGCGUGCGCAGGCGGUUAUAUAAGUCAGAUGUGAAAUCCCCGGGCUCAACCUGGGAACUGGAUUUGAGACUGUAUAGCUAGAGUACGGUAGAGGGGGAUGGAAUUCCGCGUGUAGCAGUGACAUGCGUAGAUAUGCGGAGGAACACCGAUGGCGAAGACAAUCCCCUGGACCUGUACUGACGCUCAUGCACGAAAGCGUGGGGAGCAAACAGA
rnacentral:rRNA from 1 species